AGCCGGGUCUGCGCAACGAAGAAUCACGAACCCCGCCAGGUCCGGGAGGAAGCAACGGUAGUGACACUCUUCGUGUGCCGCAGGUAGCCCGGCUAUC
rnacentral:SRP_RNA from 1 species